UCAGUUUAGUAAACAGUUCAAUUUCAAAAAAUAUGUUUUGGAGCGAAAGACUUAUCUCAAACUGUAAGACUGUCAUUGUAAGAUGUAGUGUAUUUACUCACAGGAGCCAGAAGGGGGCGAUCAGGCUGCCAUCCAUCAACUGGCACACGAGGCAGAGCCAGUGAACACACUCUUUGAGAAGGACAUGCUUUUAGUGCUGCUGCACUUACCACCCACUCCGGUGACCUUCUGUAACGACAGACAUAUGAGAUGACACCUGAGAGAGCUGGAUUCAUAUUUGCUUAUUAACUAAUUACAGAUGCCAACAUGAGUUGAGAACACAGCCAAUAAAAGCCCUGCGAUGAGCUCUGAGACUGAGUUUAGCGUUUGAAUGGAACCAUGAGGACAGUGAGCAGGAGAGCUUUUAUUGCAUGAAGACGUCAGAUGAUGUACUGCUGGUGACUGCGUCAUUAAACUCUAAACGGAUACUGAAGUUAUGAGAUAAGCAUCAUGGGAUACUGUGGAAGUGAAAUUAUUGUGUGUGCAUUUUAACGAAGAUAAAAUGGAAUGAAUAUGA